rnacentral:lncRNA from 1 species
GGAGUUGGCGGCGGGGCCCAGCCGAGUGAAGCAGAGUUGCCAGCCAUCUAUGGAUCCUAACUAAAUUGGUCCUUGUAAUACUCGGUAUUAUUUGCCAAGAUAUUGAAAAACCUCUAAACAGUGAGAAGCUCCCAGCCCCUUUUCUGUGUCUCUCAUCACCAGCUGCUGUGCCCUGAGGACACCCAGGCAGCCUAAGGAGAGGCCCACAGGUGAGAAACUGCAUGUGUGAGCUGAGCUUGGAAGUGGAUCUUCUAUGUUUUGCCAACAGCCACGUGACUAGUUUUGGAAGCAGAUUCUCCAGCCCCAGCUGCACCUGUGCCAGAGGCACCCAUUAAGCCGCACCUAGUUAAAUUCCUGACCCACAAAGACUUUGAAAUCAUAAAUGUUUGUUGUUUUAAGCUGCUAAGUUUUGAAGUAAUCUGCCAUGUAGCAACAUGAAACUACUUGGACCAAAUAUGUGUUUUUCUAAGCACAGGAAUAUUCACACUUUAUUAAACUUGAGUAUUCCAACAAUAGGAUGGAAGUCCAAGUUUUAUUUCUUUGCUGGGACCCUCACAUGCAUGUAUCACAUAUGUAUCAUUAAAAAAUGAAGGACAAAUCUAAUCAGGGGAUGACUUUAUAUUGAUUUUUUUUUAACUUAGUAGAAUCAGUAAGUGAAAUGUUGUUAGACUUAGUAAAAUAAAAAAUAAGCAAAGUUAUUGUAUU